rnacentral:miRNA from 1 species
UCGAUAUGAAAGUAAGCUUACAG